CUUGGGGCGGGGCAGCCCCCACCCCCACCCCGGCAGCCGGCGGUUGAGGUGACCCGGACCCUAUGCGUGGUCUGGGUGACUCCGGACCCGGAGUGCCAGCUGGGCUCGGAGAGACGAAGGCACCGUGCCAGGCGGAACGCGUCCGUCCUGCCCGCCUCCCGCAGGUCUGCGUCAGACCAGAUCCUGGCUUCUGGGUUCCCGACCUCACUCGGCCUCUGCAUCAUCUGCGCGACAUUUGAGCUGUCACCUCACCUCCCUCAGCGGAAAGUGUCGGCUUGCCUAAUCUAGGAGAUGAGCAGUAAGGGAAUUAACAUCCAUGGAGAAUGGAAGAUCCUACUGGUUGCUAAGUACACACCUGUGAUGCACCUUAUAUAUUCCUUACCAACCAACUGGAAGGUCGUGAAAAGGAUAACUUCUGCCUGGCACUGGCUCUGUCUCUACAUCACGCGCUCUGGAGGACGCCAGCCGUCGUGCUGUGAGGACCUUCAGUCAAGUCGCGUGUGCACAGGCUCAUCUGGGGAGGAACUGAGGCCUCUGACAAGUUGUCAGUGUGUGAAUGAGUGACCCACCCAGAGAUGGAUGCUCCAGCUCAAGUUCCAUCUUCUUCCUGGCCUCUCUCCAAGUCACCUCACCUUCCCUUCUCUGAACCGCUACGUUUCUUUGCCGUAUUAUUGUUGCUGUGACCAUACAUUGCCUCAUUUCAUCAUCUUUCAAAAAAACUUCUCAUUUCUCUGACA